AUUGAACGCUGGCGGCAUGCUUUACACAUGCAAGUCGAACGGUAUCAGGCCUUCGGGUGCUGACGAGUGGCGAACGGGUGAGUAAUGCAUCGGAACGUGCCCAGAGGUGGGGGAUAACGCAGCGAAAGCUGUGCUAAUACCGCAUGUGAUCUGAGGAUGAAAGCGGGGGACCAGGCAGCAAUGUUUGGCCUCGCGCCUUUGGAGCGGCCGAUGUCAGAUUAGGUAGUUGGUGGGGUAAAGGCCUACCAAGCCGACGAUCUGUAGCUGGUCUGAGAGGACGACCAGCCACACUGGGACUGAGACACGGCCCAGACUCCUACGGGAGGCAGCAGUGGGGAAUUUUGGACAAUGGGCGCAAGCCUGAUCCAGCAAUGCCGCGUGCGGGAAGAAGGCCUUCGGGUUGUAAACCGCUUUUGUACGGAACGAAAAGGCUCUGGCUAAUACCUGGGGCUGAUGACGGUACCGUAAGAAUAAGCACCGGCUAACUACGUG
rnacentral:rRNA from 1 species